GCUGCCACUACCACUACUAAUUUAUCACCAAAUGCAUAAAAUGAGUAGACUGGAGUUUAUUUGGAUUACGUUGAUAUGAGUAUCCACGUAAUUUUAAAUGGAAAAUAAAUAGUUAGACCAGAUAUUUACACUCCAACCUAUAACUAACUACCCAUAUACCACUUUUAUGGUACGCCACCUAACACACAACAACCACCACCACCCCCACCGGUUGGAACAACUACAAGAGUCCUACAAA
rnacentral:misc_RNA from 1 species